AAUUCUAUUUUCAUUUUUCACGUAUCGGCCGACCGCGUUGAACUACAUUUCAACACCCUUCGAGGCUGAUUUCUGUAUCAUCGGCUGAUUUACCAUACUGCAUAUCUGAGAAUUGGCGCGUUGGCAAGUAUUGUUGUGCAAAUUAGCAAUCUAAUGGUUAUAUAAAGCAUUAUCUAUGAAUAUGAGACGUUCAGCACUGACGUAAACAGGUCAAGAAUGGUGGCCAAGAAUCGAUGCUGUAUGACAAACCGGUUCUAUAUCAUAUUUGAUUGCCCAACGAGGACCACCACAGCACAGUUUUAGUCACAACAAACAGGUAAUGUAGCAUAUUAAACGAUAAUCAUGUUUCAGGUACCAUUCUGUUAUGUGUGUUUCAAUAUUAUAAGAAAGCGUACAUUGGUGAGGUUCCGUGUAACGUCGUAUGUGAUGGCAAACAAUAUUUGAAGCAAUCGACUUUUUGCAUCGCUAUUUAUAUUUACCAUUAUUUAUCGCUGCUGUCCACCGAAUGCUGAACAGGAGUUGCAAAACCAAGUUGACUUUCUGAGAUCCGCACAUCCUUCCGGAUUGCUUACAUUGGAUCCAUCACAACAAGAAAGCAUUGACACGAAGCUUCCCUUUGCCGAGGAAGACUGCAAGAGCCCGGAACAGAUGAUGAUUGACGAAACCCAGUCCGUAUUUAAAGUAUUUGACUACUGAGAAAGCUAUUUCGAUUGCAACCUUAGUGCACGUAUAGGACAUCGAUGAUUUUAGGGCAAUAAAAUCUAGUGACAUUAUUCGAGAAUAGAUAUAAUUUGUACCACUUUGUCCCGGAGAUUCUAUCGUAGGAAAGUUUACGAUCUUAGCUGAACUAGUUAUUUGGUCGUCUCCUGAUUAGUCGGCUGAGCGAGGAUUGUUGAGCUAUCGAAGGAAAAUAUCGAUCCAAGAUGUAUCAUUCAACUACCAACCGCAGACACUAGUUCCGUUUUUUGUUUUCUAAGUUACUUUGCCUAGACUGGGCGAGAAACGGCAAUGGACGAAGAGUCCAUGCACCAUCUAAAAGAAUCUACGUUAGCUUAAUUCGUGGUGAUGAGCUAAGUGGUCUCCUGGGCCUUAUCAGUUGCCAGUGCAGGAGGUAACGAUUGUCGCAGCUUAUCAUUCGCUUCCGUCUGUUUAUCUUUCUCAUACAUGCGUACGUCGUCAAUGCUCAUUCCAUGCCACUCAUCGAUCCAAGCGAACGCUUGUCUGUGCCCCAGUAGAAGUACGUCCCGGAUACACUUGAUGGAAAAUGUGUAUAUGAUGAAAAUGUUAAUUGCACUCAUAUUAAGGAAAACAUCGUGACAACUUUAAAUACCUUUUGAAUGAAGUCCUCAACCCUUGUCUGGAGUCCCCAAACUUCGAAGGAAGCUUCCACCAAUUUGUAGGAACACAUCAUGGGCUCAUCAGUUUGACGCCAGCCCUCUACGAGCGGUCCGCGUCCGGUGAUGCGGGAUUUGAAGAAUUUGGGAUCCUCCUCUUUUUUGUAGUGCUUUUCAGAUGGCUCUUCAAACGCAAUGUCUACAUGAUCAACUAUCCGAUUUGCCAAAGUUUCUUCUGGCAGAUUCAAGCACUAGAAGGUAGUGGAAAAAUAUUAAUCGAAUGGAACAGAGAGAGCUUCGGCUAUGUUUAACAUACGUUUUCCGAAGUGCCAGCAUUGUCUUCAAACCGCGUCAGGAUACGAAUAUGUAAUUUUGGUAUAAACGAGCACUAAUGAAACAAAUGAGUUAGAUUCACAAUGCA